rnacentral:rRNA from 1 species
GACGAACGCUGGCGGCGUGCUUAACACAUACAAGUCGAACGGAAAGGCCCUGCUUUUGUGGGGUGCUCGAGUGGCGAACGGGUGGGUAACACGUGAGUAACCUGCCCUUGACUUUGGGAUAACUUCAGGAAACUGGGGCUAAUACCGGAUAGGAGCUCCUGCUGCAUGGUGGGGGUUGGAAAGUUUCGGCGGUUGGGGAUGGACUCGCGGCUUAUCAGCUUGUUGGUGGGGUAGUGGCUUACCAAGGCUUUGACGGGUAGCCGGCCUGAGAGGGUGACCGGCCACAUUGGGACUGAGAUACGGCCCAGACUCCUACGGGAGGCAGCAGUGGGGAAUAUUGCACAAUGGGCGGAAGCCUGAUGCAGCAACGCCGCGUGCGGGAUGACGGCCUUCGGGUUGUAAACCGCUUUCGCCUGUGACGAAGCGUGAGUGACGGUAAUGGGUAAAGAAGCACCGGCUAACUACGUG